rnacentral:piRNA from 1 species
UGGUGACUGACCUGCAAUGACCUGAUC